GUACAAACUUAGUCACUAACUCUGCGUGAUGUUGCAAAAGUGAGAGGAACCAGGUUUGCCUAAAGUAAUUGUGAUAGAAAUACAUUAGCCUCAGAAACUACUGAGGUAGUCCAUUUUAUCCUCGUAUAGUG